rnacentral:rRNA from 1 species
GGACUACCGGGGUAUCUAAUCCUGUUUGCUCCCCACGCUUUCGUGCUUCAGCGUCAGUGUUGUCCCAGAUGGCCGCCUUCGCCACUGAUGUUCCUCCCGAUCUCUACGCAUUUCACCGCUACACCGGGAAUUCCACCAUCCUCUGACACACUCUAGCUCGCCAGUAUCCAUCGCCAUUCCCAGGUUGAGCCCGGGGAUUUCACGACAGACUUAACGAACCGCCUACGCACCCUUUACGCCCAGUAAUUCCGAUUAACGCUUGCACCCUUCGUAUUACCGCGGCUGCUGGCAC